UUUGCAUCUUGGAAUUCCCUGGUGGCUCAGACGGUAAAGCGUCUGCCUGCCAUGAGGGAGAUCUGGGCUCAAUCUCUGGGUCAGGAAGAUCCCCUGGAGAAGGGCAUGACAACUCACUCCAGUAUUCUUGCCUGGAGAAUUCCAUGGACAGAGGAGCCUGUCCAUGGGGUUGCAAAGAGUCAGACACGACUGAG